AUUGAACGCUGGCGGCAGGCCUAACACAUGCAAGUCGAGCGAGCGGAGGACGGGUGAGUAAUGUCUGGGAAACUGCCUGAUGGCGGGGGAUAACUACUGGAAACGGUAGCUAAUACCGCAUACCAUCAGCUGAGCACGGAUGGGAUUAGCUAGUAGGUGGGGUAACGGCUCAACUAGGCGACGAGCCCUAGCUGGUCUGAGAGGAUGACCAGCCACACUGGAACUGAGACAAGGUCCAGACUCCUACGGGAGGCAGCAGUGGGGAAUAUGGCACAAUGGGCGCAAGCCUGAUGCAGCCAUGCCGCGUGUGUGAAGAAGGCCGUCGGGUUGUAAAGCACUUUCAGCGGGGAGGCGUUACCCGCAGAAGAAGCACCGGCUAACUCCGUGCCAGCCGCCGCGGUAAUAC
rnacentral:rRNA from 1 species